rnacentral:misc_RNA from 1 species
UUUCCGUAGGUGAACCUGCGGAAGGAUCAUUAAAGAGUAAGGGUCUUCGGACCCGAUCUCCAAACCUUUGUUUAACUACCAUGUUGCUUUGGCGGGCCCGUCUCACGACCGCCGGAAGUUUGGCUUCGACCGAACUUCUGGCCCGUGCCCGUCAGUGGCCCCUUCAACUUCUUGAUCAAGUAUGAUGUCUUAGUUAAAAACUUAAUAGUUAAAACUUUCAACAACGGAUCUCUUGGUUCUA